UACGUAGGGUCCGAGCGUUGUCCGGAAUUAUUGGGCGUAAAGGGCUCGUAGGCGGUCUGUCGCGUCGGGAGUGAAAACUUACAGCUUAACUGUGAGCGUGCUUUCGAUACGGGCAGACUUGAGGUAUUCAGGGGAGAACGGAAUUCCUGGUGUAGCGGUGAAAUGCGCAGAUAUCAGGAGGAACACCGAUGGCGAAGGCAGGUCUCUGGGCCACUACUGACGCUGAGAAGCGAAAGCAUGGGGAGCGAACAGG
rnacentral:rRNA from 1 species